rnacentral:rRNA from 1 species
AGCGAACGCUGGCGGUAGGCCUAACACAUGCAAGUCGAACGGCAGCACAGUAAGAGCUUGCUCUUACGGGUGGCGAGUGGCGGACGGGUGAGGAAUACAUCGGAAUCUACUUUUUCGUGGGGGAUAACGUAGGGAAACUUACGCCAAUACCGCAUACGACCCACGGGUGAAAGCAGUGGAUCUUCGGACCUUGCGCGAUUGAAUGAGCCGAUGUCGGAUUAGCUAGUUGGCGGGGUAAAGGCCCACCAAGGCGACGAUCCGUAGCUGGUCUGAGAGGCUGAUCGGCCACAUGGGAACUGAGACACGGUCCAGACGCCUACGGGAGGCAGCAGUGGGGAAUAGGAGACAAUGGGCGCAAGCCUGAUCCAGCCAUACCACGUCGGUGAAGAAGGCCUUCGGGUUGGAAAGCCCUUUUGUUGGGAAAGAAAAGCAGCAGGUUAAGACCCCGCUGUUCUGACGGUACCCAAAGAAUAAGCACCGGCUAACUUCGUG